AUGGGGACUAGCCCGGGUGGUUCGGCGUCACCUGUAACCCGAAACCGUCGGUAUGCGGGAGGCGAAGUUUGAGGAAGGCCGUUACGAGCUGCCGGAUACGGGUGUUUCCUGACGAAGAAACCUCGUCCCAUGAGGUCGGUGGACAGGGUUCAAGAUCCCGGAGGGGAUGGCGACCUGCUGUUGCGGAGACCGGUUGAGGCCCGGAAGGGAGCAGACUUACCGUAGACAUUCGGCGCCCAUGGGGUUGCGGGGCGGAGGAUGGAUGCACCAGUGAUGGUAGUCACGUGCGGUCGACCGAGGACGCGUCCCCAA
rnacentral:SRP_RNA from 1 species